AUGAACGCUGGCGGCGUGCCUCAUACAUGCAAGUCGAGCGAACGGACGAGAAGCUUGCUUCUCUGAUGUUAGCGGCGGACGGGUGAGUAACACGUGGAUAACCUACCUAUAAGACUGGGAUAACUUCGGGAAACCGGAGCUAAUACCGGAUAAUAUUUUGAACCGCAUGGUUCAAAAGUGAAAGACGGUCUUGCUGUCACUUAUAGAUGGAUCCGCGCUGCAUUAGCUAGUUGGUAAGGUAACGGCUUACCAAGGCAACGAUGCAUAGCCGACCUGAGAGGGUGAUCGGCCACACUGGAACUGAGACACGGUCCAGACUCCUACGGGAGGCAGCAGUAGGGAAUCUUCCGCAAUGGGCGAAAGCCUGACGGAGCAACGCCGCGUGAGUGAUGAAGGUCUUCGGAUCGUAAAACUCUGUUAUUAGGGAAGAACAUAUGUGUAAGUAACUGUGCACAUCUUGACGGUACCUAAUCAGAGAGCCACGGCUAACUACGUG
rnacentral:rRNA from 1 species